rnacentral:rRNA from 1 species
UAGAUGACGCUGGCGGCGUGCCUAAUACAUGCAAGUCGAGCGAACGGACGAGAAGCUUGCUUCUCUGAUGUUAGCGGCGGACGGGUGAGUAACACGUGGAUAACCUACCUAUAAGACUGGGAUAACUUCGGGAAACCGGAGCUAAUACCGGAUAAUAUUUUGAACCGCAUGGUUCAAAAGUGAAAGACGGUCUUGCUGUCACUUAUAGAUGGAUCCGCGCUGCAUUAGCUAGUUGGUAAGGUAACGGCUUACCAAGGCAACGAUGCAUAGCCGACCUGAGAGGGUGAUCGGCCACACUGGAACUGAGACACGGUCCAGACUCCUACGGGAGGCAGCAGUAGGGAAUCUUCCGCAAUGGGCGAAAGCCUGACGGAGCAACGCCGCGUGAGUGAUGAAGGUCUUCGGAUCGUAAAACUCUGUUAUUAGGGAAGAACAUAUGUGUAAGUAACUGUGCACAUCUUGACGGUACCUAAUCAGAAAGCCACGGCUAACUACGUGCCAGCAGCCGCGGUAAUACGUAGGUGGCAAGCGUUAUCCGGAAUUAUUGGGCGUAAAGCGCGCGUAGGCGGUUUUUUAAGUCUGAUGUGAAAGCCCACGGCUCAACCGUGGAGGGUCAUUGGAAACUGGAAAACUUGAGUGCAGAAGAGGAAAGUGGAAUUUCCAUGUGUAGCGGUGAAAUGCGCAGAGAUAUGGAGGAACACCAGUGGCGAAGGCGACUUUCUGGUCUGUAACUGACGCUGAUGUGCGAAAGCGUGGGGAUCAAACAGGAUUAGAUACCCUGGUAGUCCACGCCGUAAACGAUGAGUGCUAAGUGUUAGGGGGUUUCCGCCCCUUAGUGCUGCAGCUAACGCAUUAAGCACUCCGCCUGGGGAGUACGACCGCAAGGUUGAAACUCAAAGGAAUUGACGGGGACCCGCACAAGCGGUGGAGCAUGUGGUUUAAUUCGAAGCAACGCGAAGAACCUUACCAAAUCUUGACAUCCUUUGACAACUCUAGAGAUAGAGCUUUCCCCUUCGGGGGACAAAGUGACAGGUGGUGCAUGGUUGUCGUCAGCUCGUGUCGUGAGAUGUUGGGUUAAGUCCCGCAACGAGCGCAACCCUUAAGCUUAGUUGCCAUCAUUAAGUUGGGCACUCUAAGUUGACUGCCGGUGACAAACCGGAGGAAGGUGGGGAUGACGUCAAAUCAUCAUGCCCCUUAUGAUUUGGGCUACACACGUGCUACAAUGGACAAUACAAAGGGCAGCGAAACCGCGAGGUCAAGCAAAUCCCAUAAAGUUGUUCUCAGUUCGGAUUGUAGUCUGCAACUCGACUACAUGAAGCUGGAAUCGCUAGUAAUCGUAGAUCAGCAUGCUACGGUGAAUACGUUCCCGGGUCUUGUACACACCGCCCGUCACACCACGAGAGUUUGUAACACCCGAAGCCGGUGGAGUAACCUUUUAGGAGCUAGCCGUCGAAGGUGGGACAAAUGAUGGGU